GCUAAUUGAGGUUUAUAGAAGCUGGAAUAAAUAUUUGGUGAGGCUGGAUUUUCCCAUCCUGUUGUCACCCCCAGCUCACCCCAGAGUCCUUUCCCAUCCUUUUUUCCCUUCCUCCUGUCAUUUCUGCUGUCUGUGAUAAACUAUCUGGCUGACAGAGAUAUUGAGUUAAAGCUCUGUUUCUGUGGUAUCCUGGAAGAUCCUAAAACACCCAGCAGCUGAGUCCCCGUCUAGAGCAAAAUGGACUUUUGUUUCUAGUGCUGAAAAAGAUGGGUCACUGUUUUGGGCCUGCCAUACACUCCCACUAUAAUGUGCCAUCAGAGGCCCAAAGCAGCAAAGACAACUCAGCAGAGACCAAACUUCUAAAAUUUUGAGCCAAAGGACCCUUUUAUCCUGAGCCUCAGAAAUGAGCACCACGCUGCUCUUCCUGUGCCGAGCCUCGAGGACGCGCCUCGAAGGAUCCAGGCUCUCAGGCACAAGCUGGCUGUCAGUAGGAAAGCUUUGAUACUGAAACCUUGGAGACUAUGGCAGAUGGGUGAGUUAUCCUUCAAGAGUGGCAGCUGCCUGUGACAUCCAGUUCCUCCUUGCCACCCCAUGAGGUGCGACAGCUACAUUGACCUGAGGGAAGA